rnacentral:rRNA from 1 species
GAGGAAUUUUCGGCAAUGGGCGCAAGCCUGACCGAGCAACGCCGCGUGCAGGAUGAAGGUUUUCGGAUCGUACACUGCUUUUAGUGGGGACGAGUAAGGACGGUACCCACCGAAUCAGCCCCGGCUAACUACGUGCCAGCAGCCGCGGUAAUACGUAGGGGGCGAGCGUUAUCCGGAGUUACUGGGCGUAAAGGGCACGCAGGCGGUCGUGCAGGUUUGGGGUGACAGCUCCCGGCUCAACUGGGAGAGGACCUCGAAGACGGUACGACUUGAGGGCCACAGAGGGACACAGAAUUCCGGGUGUAGUGGUGAAAUGCGUAGAUAUCCGGAGGAAUACCAAAGGCGAAGGCAGUGUCCUGGGUGGUACCUGACGCUCAGGUGCGAAAGCUAGGGGAGCGAAC